rnacentral:rRNA from 1 species
CCUACGGGUGGCUACAGUGGGGAAUAUUGGACAAUGGGCGAAAGCCUGAUCCAGCCAUGCCGCGUGUGUGAAGAAGGCCUUCGGGUUGUAAAGCACUUUCAGUGGGGAAGAAAGCCUUGGGGCUAAUACCCUCGAGGAAGGACAUCACCCACAGAAGAAGCACCGGCUAACUCCGUGCCAGCAGCCGCGGUAAUACGGAGGGUGCGAGCGUUAAUCGGAAUUACUGGGCGUAAAGCGCGCGUAGGCGGUCUGAUAAGCCGGUUGUGAAAGCCCCGGGCUCAACCUGGGAACGGCAUCCGGAACUGUCAGGCUAGAGUGCAGGAGAGGAAGGUAGAAUUCCCGGUGUAGCGGUGAAAUGCGUAGAGAUCGGGAGGAAUACCAGUGGCGAAGGCGGCCUUCUGGACUGACACUGACGCUGAGGUGCGAAAGCGUGGGUAGCAAACAGGAUUAGAUACCCCAGUAGUC